GUGAAUUUCUUAAUCGUCAGGGGCUCUGAAGAAUUUGUGAAUUGUGGUAACAAAACACUCUGUCCCAUAUUUUAAACAGUAAUAAUGCAGCUUACUGUCAGUGACUGGCAAGAUUUACAAACGCAUCAGAGAGGCAAAACAAGAUCCGCUUUAUUGGGUGAUCUUCAUAUAUACAUAUACUGAGAUGGAAAGUCACAAGGGNCUACUGCUAUUAUUCCUCGUUGUCACUAUGAUAGAAAAGACAAAUGCAAGUCAGUUCCAAGAUUGUUCUGAUUAUUGUCGUACUUCGUAUUUCCAUUGUUUUUUAGUAGAAUGCAGUGGCCCUGGCAAUGAAUUCAAAUGUAAACGGUGCGCAUCUGUAAAAGUNUCAUGCAUUAGAGGGUGCCAAAGGAAUGAAGGACUUUCAAAGAAAACAAAUCAAAUGUAAUAUGAUGAAAUGUAAAGCACAGAAAAUUAUCUAAACUCUAAGAAAUAAAAAAAGAUUUUUGCUCAAU
rnacentral:misc_RNA from 1 species